UACGUAGGGUGCGAGCGUUGCCCGGAUUUAUUGGGCGUAAAGGGCGCGUAGGCGGCCACGCACGUCCGUUGUGAAAUCGCCCGGCUCAACUGGGCGGGGUCAGCGGAUACGGUGUGGCUCGAGCAAGCUAGGGGGCAAUGGAAUUCCCGGUGUAGUGGUGGAAUGCGUAGAUAUCAGGAGGAGCACCCAUGGCGAAGGCAGCAAACUGGUCCGUAUCUGACGCUGAGGCGCGAAAGCGUGGGUAGCAAACAGG
rnacentral:rRNA from 1 species